AAAUAAUAAAAAAUCCAAUGGCCCACAACACCUAAACAGAAAACAAAAAAAAACCCUAGCCUCUGCCGGCUCCUGCUCCACCACCUACUCUGUCAUCGUCACCUGCAAAGAAAAAAAAAGAAAAGACAUAAACCAAAUAUGAGCAGUUGAAACAGUAGAAAUAAAAAAUGUAAAUCGGCUAUAAAAUCCUGAAAACCGAUUGUAAAGGGGUACCAUUUUUGGAAAACAUAGAAGAAAAUAUACAAAAAAAAAAAGAAAAUCGAUUGUAAAGGGGUUCCCCUUUUUGAAAAACAUAGAAGAAAAUAUACAAAAAAAAAAGAUUGAAUAUGAUAAGAAAAGUGACUUUUUUUACAUUCAUUUUUAUCUUUUAUUUUCGAAAUACAUAAAAUAAAAUAAAAAACCAAAUCUUUUACAUCUAUCGUCGUUGCUUCUCCCUCCGUUCUGGAAGACCGACAGGCCCUUGGGUGUUAGUUGAAUGGUCGCGACGGAAGUGGGUAGAAAUGAAGGAUUCUUUUGUUUCUUUUUGAAUUUUAAAGGCCUUUUUUAGCGUAUUAACCCCAGAUCUGGAUUCUACUCGAAAAAAGGAAAAAAUAGGGUUUUGACAUUUUUGGCCACUGUGGAUGGUGGAGCCAUCACUGAUGACAGGCGGCCGAUACUGUGGAGGUUCGCCGGAGCCAUGGCCAGCCGAAGGAUGGCUUGUAGAGAAAACAGAGAGGGAUUUUUGUUUUUUGUUUUUUU
rnacentral:lncRNA from 1 species